rnacentral:misc_RNA from 1 species
AACUAUGGGAAAUCUAAAAUGGCGACUUAGCUUAGUAUGCUUUGACGAGUAAGAAGAUUAAAGUGAGUUCAAAGAAGUGUUUUAUAGACUCCUGUUUAUUUGACUGAAGUUUUUAUUGGGUAUAGACUAGAGAGAAAACAACAAGAGUCCAAGUUUGUCAUGUGAAAUGUGUGUACUUUGGAAAUCUGUUAAAGAAAAGGUUUCCAAUCGUAUGCAGCUUUGGACGUGAAUGCAUUUAUUUCCAGCGCUCAAGGCUCUGAUGACUUGGUCAGCGGUUGAAAUCAGAGUGCCUUGUAAAAGAAAAACAAAGGUGUCAAGGAAGAAG